AGAGUUUGAUCCUGGCUCAGGAUGAACGCUAGCGGCAGGCCUAACACAUGCAAGUCGAACGGUAAGGUCUCUUCGGAGAUACACGAGUGGCGCACGGGUGAGUAACGCGUAUGCAACCUACCUUUUACAGGGGGAUAGCCCGAAGAAAUUCGGAUUAAUACCCCAUAGUAUCCCUUCAACACCUGUUGAUAGGAUUAAAGCUCCGGCGGUAAAAGAUGGGCAUGCGUGACAUUAGAUAGUUGGUGAGGUAACGGCCCACCAAGUCUACGAUGUCUAGGGGGUCUGAGAGGAUGGUCCCCCACACUGGUACUGAGACACGGACCAGACUCCUACGGGAGGCAGCAGUGAGGAAUAUUGGGCAAUGGGCGAGAGCCUGACCCAGCCAUGCCGCGUGCAGGAUGACGGCCCUAUGGUUGUAAACUGCUUUUAUACGGGAAGAAUAGGCCCUACGUGUAGGGAUUUGACGGUACCGUACGAAUAAGCACCGGCUAACUCCGUGCCAGCAGCCGCGGUAAUACGGAGGGUGCAGGCGUUAUCCGGAUUUAUUGGGUUUAAAGGGUGCGUAGGCGGAAGAUUAAGUCAGUGGUGAAAUCUCGUGGCUCAACCAUGAAAUUGCCAUUGAUACUGGUUUUCUUGAGUAUAGUUGAGGUAGGCGGAAUGUGUCAUGUAGCGGUGAAAUGCUUAGAUAUGACCCAGAACACCGAUUGCGUAGGCAGCUUGCUAAACUAUUACUGACGCUGAUGCACGAAAGCGUGGGUAGCGAACAGGAUUAGAUACCCUGGUAGUCCACGCCGUAAACGAUGAUCACUCGCUGUGUGCGAUAUAUUGUACGCGGCCGAGCGAAAGCAUUAAGUGAUCCACCUGGGGAGUACGGUCGCAAGAUUGAAACUCAAAGGAAUUGACGGGGGCCCGCACAAGCGGAGGAACAUGUGGUUUAAUUCGAUGAUACGCGAGGAACCUUACCUGGGCUUAAAUGUAGAGUGCUUUUUGCUGAAAGGCAAUUUUCCUUCGGGACGCUUUACAAGGUGCUGCAUGGUUGUCGUCAGCUCGUGCCGUGAGGUGUCGGGUUAAGUCCCAUAACGAGCGCAACCCCUACCGUUAGUUGCCAUCGGGUCAUGCCGGGGACUCUAGCGGGACUGCCAGUGUAAACUGUGAGGAAGGUGGGGAUGACGUCAAAUCAGCACGGCCCUUAUGCCCAGGGCUACACACGUGUUACAAUGGCCGGUACAGAGGGCAGCUACUACGUAAGUAGAUGCAAAUCCCCAAAGCCGGUCCCAGUUCGGAUCGGAGUCUGCAACUCGACUCCGUGAAGUUGGAUUCGCUAGUAAUCGUAUAUCAGCAAUGAUACGGUGAAUACGUUCCCGGGCCUUGUACACACCGCCCGUCAAGCCAUGGAAGCUGGGGGUACCUGAAGUCUGUAACCGUAAGGAGCGGCCUAGGGUAAAACUAGUGACUGGGGCUAAGUCGAAACAAGGUA
rnacentral:rRNA from 1 species